UCCCCCAUGGCGCAACCGGCUAGCGCGUCAGACUGUUAUUCUCUCUUCUCAUCUUCUCUUGGGACAGAUGCGAUAGAAAUCUGGAGGCUGUUAGUUCGAUCCUAACUGGGGGAG